ensembl:ncRNA lncRNA:CR44229 long non-coding RNA:CR44229
AGAUACUUUUACCUAAAUUUUGAACAGCGUUACAUACCUUCAGCCCUUAACAUUACAGGGUAACCAUUACGUUUGCUGCAUCCUCCUGCGUUGACGUUAUCAGAACUCUGGCAGUUACUGGCCGCAGACGCAGCGAUAUCGCUCCAUGGCAGGAGCAUUGCCUAUCGCAGUGGCCAACAUCGAAAUCGAAACUAUGGCAGAUCAAUUCGAAUAACAAUAAUUUCUUCCGGUCGAAUGGCAGCGCCAGAACAAUCAGACAGCGGCAGAGAUGCAGAUAUAUACGACUGCGAAAGUAUCUGCAUCUGCAACGGCAAUCGCAACUGCAACUGCAUUGUUGCUGUUUGCUGCAUUUUAAACAGGAUGCGCAUAAGUAUACGAGGAUUGACAGGAUGUGCGGGCCAUGCACACGCAUUUUGUUUGCCGCUGACGCUGCCACGCCCACUCCUCCACUGUCAUUUUAAAUCGUGGGGCGGCAUACACAUGUUCAAUGGGCGGCUCACGCCCCACCCAGCAGCACUAAUUUGUAUUGUAUUCGCUGUUAAUGAAUUUCAUAUAUUGUAUUUAUGCGAAUGCACUUAAUGCGAAAAUUAUUUGCGUUGACAUUGCUGUGGAUCGCAGGGGAUUUUUAAACGGCUGACGAUAUUGAGAGACGCGCUU